AUUGAACGCUGGCGGCAUGCCUUACACAUGCAAGUCGAACGGCAGCAUGAUCUAGCUUGCUAGAUUGAUGGCGAGUGGCGAACGGGUGAGUAAUACAUCGGAACGUGCCCUGUAGUGGGGGAUAACUAGUCGAAAGAUUAGCUAAUACCGCAUACGACCUGAGGGUGAAAGUGGGGGACCGCAAGGCCUCAUGCUAUAGGAGCGACCGAUGUCUGAUUAGCUAGUUGGUGGGGUAAAGGCCCACCAAGGCGACGAUCAGUAGCUGGUCUGAGGGGACGAUCAGCCACACUGGGACGGAGACACGGCCCAGACUCCUACGGGAGGCAGCAGUGGGGAAUUUUGGACAAGGGGCGAAAGCCUGAUCCAGCAAUGCCGCGUGUGUGAAGAAGGCCUUCGGGUUGUAAAGCACUUUUGUCCGGAAAGAAAUGGCUCUGGUUAAUACCUGGGGUCGAUGACGGUACCGGAAGAAUAAGGACCGGCUAACUACGUGCCAGCCGCCGCAGUAAUAC
rnacentral:rRNA from 1 species